rnacentral:rRNA from 1 species
UAGGGAGCGAGCGUUGUCCGGAAUUACUGGGUGUAAAGGGCGCGUAGGCGGGGACGCAAGUUGGGUGUAAAAGAUACCGGCUCAACCGGUAUUGGCACUCAAAACUGCGACUCUUGAGUGCAGUAGAGGCAGGCGGAAUUCCUAGUGUAGCGGUGGAAUGCGUAGAUAUUAGGAGGAACACCAGUGGCGGAGGCGGCCUGCUGGGCUUUUACUGACGCUGAGGCUCGAAAAUGUGGGGAGCAAA